ensembl:lncRNA
UUUUUUUUUUUUUUGAGAUGGAGUCUUGCGGGUCACCCAGGCUGGUGUGCAGUGACAGGAUCUCAGCUCACCACCCUCUGCCUCCCAGAUUCAAACAAUUCUCCUGCCUCAGCCUCCCAAGUAGCUAGGAUUAUAGGCACCUGCCACCAUGCCCAGCUAAUAUUUGUAUUUUUAGUAGAGACGGUGUUUCACUAUGUUGGCCAGGCUUGUCUCAAACUCCUGACUCCAUGGUCCUCCCGCCUUGGCUUCCCAAAGGGCUGAGAUUACAGGCGUGAGCCACCGCUCCCGGCCCUUAAUUUUUUUAAAACAAAAUCCACCUGCUUCCCUGACCUAGAGUCUUGCUUUGUAUCUGGUGAAGAACUCUGAUGAGCCAUUCUAUGGUGGGUAGUUCCGACUCACUGCAAGGCUUUUGUUUCACUGAAUAUAGAGGUUUGGGGCCAGAGAGCUAAACUGACCAAGACAUUAGAUGGCGAGGCCACAUGAGAGAAGGAUUUGGAGAAGAAAGGGAGGGAGCCAGUUGAUAGCUAAAAGGAAUUUAGGUUGUAAAAUGUAUUCAUUUCUUCAACAAAUAUUUAUCUCAAAAAGCUCUCUCAUGCCAAACUUUCUGCUAGGUGUUGAGGAUGUGAUGAUGAAUGGGACAGACACAGCACCUGCCCUCAAGCGUGGGAAGUCCCUUUCCCUGUGAUGUCCAAUGUCAACGCUCUCCACCCUCUCCCCCAAAAUCUUCAGCAAAGCACACAUUGCUCGCAAAUGCUCGGUAGACGAGCUAGAGUGAGGAGACAUAAGGAAAUGCUGUCUUGUCCUGGGUUGGAAGGAAACAAAGCCAGAGGCUCCUCACAGGAGGCCCAACAUGGGGCUUGCAUGCUCUAGUGGGCCAGGUAGGGCUCCUUAGGCAGCCAGCAUCCAUGUCCUCCUUCUUAUGGCAAGAGAACUUUGAUUCGCUUUUGGAAAAUUUCCUCUCUCCUGUUGAGGGUAGCCAUAAUGGGACUGUCAGUCAAAUGUUUUUCCCUGAAUUCCUAGCCACAGGAGAGGCACCAGGUCCAAGCUGGGGCAGUGAGUCUUGGGAGUCAAAUCCUAAAAGGGAGAGAUACAAGAAUAGAAUCAAAGAUGAAGCUGGUUUAGCCCAGCAAGAGAUGUGAUGAGAUCAAUGCCUACUGCCUGGCUCCCUGGUCCCCCAUCCAUGUGAGGGUUCUCAGCAGGCCCUUAGAAUCUGUGCGCUAUUUUAUAUCCUUCCAAUAACUCAUCUUUGGCUUAACUUAGCGAGGGUCCUUUUUGGGUACCUGCCGUCAGAAAACCCUACCUGACGCCUGUGAUCAUGAAAAGUUCCAAUCCCUCCUCCCCAGUAAGGGGUCUGGGCACCUCCAAGAGAAAACUGGCUUAGAGCAGACGAGGGCCUGGCUGUAGAGACAGAGCCAUCUUAUUACAUCCUUAGAGCCUACUUCGACAUUAAGACAGGAAUGAUCAAAAUCCAAAGGCUCCCUUAAGCUAACAGUGACUGCCCUUAACCAACAAGGACACUUAGAAGAUGAGUGCCAGCCCUCAGGAAAAGGCCAACACACUGACAGAGAGAAAAGAGAGAUCAGAGUCAUCUGGGUCAGGUUAAGGCUUCAAAUGACACACUGAGCUCAUUUCCUAAGCAAUCCUUACGCCUAGCACCUAGAUUUAAUUCUGCACUCCCUGUGGGUC